UACGUAGGCAGCAAACGUUGUUCGGAAUUACUGGGCGUAAAGAGUGUGUAGGCGGUUUUGUUAGUUUGGUGGGAAAUCUCCCGGCUUAACUGGGAGGGUGCGCCGAAUACUGCAAAGCUUGAGUACUGGAGAGGAUAGCGGAAUUCCUGGUGUAGCGGUGAAAUGCGUAGAUAUCAGGAGGAACACCGGCGGUGUAGACGGCUAUCUGGACAGUAACUGACGCUGAGACACGAAAGCGCGGGGAGCAAACAGG
rnacentral:rRNA from 1 species